CCUACGGGAGGCAGCAGUGGGGAAUAUUGGACAAUGGGCGAAAGCUGAUCCAGCAAUGCCGCGUGAGUGAUGAAGGCCUUAGGGUUGUAAAGCUCUUUUACCAGGGAUGAUAAUGACAGUACCUGGAGAAUAAGCUCCGGCUAACUCCGUGCCAGCAGCCGCGGUAAUACGGAGGGAGCUAGCGUUGUUCGGAAUUACUGGGCGUAAAGCGUGCGUAGGCGGCUAUUCAAGUCAGAGGUGAAAGCCUGGAGCUCAACUCCAGAACUGCCUUUGAAACUAGAUAGCUAGAAUCUUGGAGAGGUGAGUGGAAUUCCGAGUGUAGAGGUGAAAUUCGUAGAUAUUCGGAAGAACACCAGUGGCGAAGGCGACUCACUGGACAAGUAUUGACGCUGAGGUACGAAAGCGUGGGGAGCAAACAGGAUUAGAUACCCUGGUAGUCCACGCCGUAAACGAUGAUAACUAGCUGUCCGGGCUCUCAGAGCUUGGGUGGCGCAGCUAACGCAUUAAGUUAUCCGCCUGGGGAGUACGGUCGCAAGAUUAAAACUCAAAUGAAUUGACGG
rnacentral:rRNA from 1 species